rnacentral:rRNA from 1 species
AUUGAACGCUGGCGGCAUGCCUUACACAUGCAAGUCGAACGGCAGCACGGGAGCAAUCCUGGUGGCGAGUGGCGAACGGGUGAGUAAUACAUCGGAACGUGCCCAGUAGUGGGGGAUAACCCGGCGAAAGCCGGACUAAUACCGCAUACGACCUACGGGUGAAAGCAGGGGAUCGCAAGACCUUGCGCUAUCGGAGCGGCCGAUGUCAGAUUAGCUUGUUGGCGGGGAAAANCCCACCAAGGCGACGAUCUGUAGCUGGUCUGAGAGGACGACCAGCCACACUGGGACUGAGACACGGCCCAGACUCCUACGGGAGGCAGCAGUGGGGAAUUUUGGACAAUGGCGCAAGCCUGAUCCAGCCAUGCCGCGU